rnacentral:misc_RNA from 1 species
UCCAACCACUAAUUAGUAUCCCUAAAGUUGUCAGUUUAUCCUUGCAAACUAUACACGGCAAUGACCGCUUAGCUUUAACGUUAUGCUUAUACGUAUAGCUACUCUUUGGAUAUAACAUGAACUUAUUACAACAAAUUAGGAAGGGUGCUAUUUUCCAUAUUUCAGAAGGAAUAAUCGGGAAACGUGAUAUGUUGAACAACACUGUGGAGAGGAAGUUUCUAAAAUGAUUAUUUUAAUUCGCCCUAUUCGCUUUGGUGGCUGUAGCCCUAGCGGCUCCCAACCCCAAGCCCGCGCCUGCGCCGGCGCCCGCGCCCGCCC